rnacentral:rRNA from 1 species
AACGAACGCUGGCGGCAGGCCUCAUACAUGCAAGUCGAGCGGACGGACCCCUUCGGGGGCGAGUUAGCGGCGAACGGGUGAGUAACAGGUGGAUGAUCUGCCUCCCGGUGGGGGAUAACGGCUGGAAACGGCCGCUAAUACCGCAUUCGGUUGAUGCGUUGCGGCGCAUCAAAGAAAGGCGCUUCACGGCGCUGCCGGGAGAUGAGUCCGCCCCCCAUUAGCUAGUUGGCGGGAUAACAGCCCACCAAGGCUUCGAUGGGUAGCCGAACUGAGAGGUUGAUCGGCCACACUGGAACUGAGACACGGUCCAGACACCUACGGGUGGCAGCAGUAGGGAAUAUUGGGCAAUGGGCGAAAGCCUGACCCAGCCAUGCCGCGUGAGUGACGAAGGUCCUAUGGAUUGUAAAGCUCUUUUCUGAGGAAAGAACAUCCGGGGUAGGAAAUGACCCCGGCUUGACGGUACCUCAGGAAUAAGGAACGGCUAACUCCGUG